rnacentral:snRNA from 1 species
AUACUUACCUGGCAGAGGAGAUAGCAUGAUCGUGAAGGUGAUUUUCCGAGGAUGGUUUCCAGCAACCAUUGCACUCCAGGUGUGCUGACCCCUGCAAUUUCCCCAAAUGCAGGAAACCUGACUGCAUUUC